rnacentral:rRNA from 1 species
GACGAACGCUGGCGGCGUGCUUAACACAUGCAAGUCGAACGAAGAGCGAUGGAAGCUUGCUUCUAUCAAUCUUAGUGGCGAACGGGUGAGUAACGCGUAAUCAACCUGCCCUUCAGAGGGGGACAACAGUUGGAAACGACUGCUAAUACCGCAUACGAUCUAAUCUCGGCAUCGAGGAUAGAUGAAAGGUGGCCUCUACAUGUAAGCUAUCACUGAAGGAGGGGAUUGCGUCUGAUUAGCUAGUUGGAGGGGUAACGGCCCACCAAGGCGAUGAUCAGUAGCCGGUCUGAGAGGAUGAACGGCCACAUUGGGACUGAGACACGGCCCAGACUCCUACGGGAGGCAGCAGUGGGGAAUCUUCCGCAAUAGACGAAAGUCUGACGGAGCAACGCCGCGUGAGCGAUGACGGCCUUCGGGUUGUAAAGCUCUGUUAAUCGGGACGAAAGGCCUUCUUGCGAAUAGUGAGAAGGAUUGACGGUACCGGAAUAGAAAGCCACGGCUAACUACGUG